UUGGUCAUCUACAGACGGUGGCAGGCGAUGGCGGCCAACGGUGGUGGUGGCAGGUGGCAGGCGAUGGCGGCCAACGGUGGUGGUGGCAGGUGGCCGGCGGCGGGAGUCCGACGGUGGUGGUCAGCGACGGGCGGUGGCGGCCAACGGUGGUGGUGGCAGGUGGCCGACGGCGGGAGUUCGACGGUGGCGGUCGGCGACGGGCGGUGGCGGCCAACGGUGGUGGUGGCAGGUGGCCGGCGGCGGGAGUCCGGCGGUGGCCGGCGGCGGGAGUCCGGCGGUAGUGGCUGGCGGCAGAAGUCCGGCGGUGGUGGCCGGCGGCGAGAUAUGAUUGGCUAGAUAUGGACAUGUGGCAUAGUAUGCUUGCCUUAGAAGGAGUGGCAUUGUGUGUAAUUUUGAUAUGUUUUAAUGAUAUUUUUGUAAAAUUAGGUACCACAAUUUGGUCUUUUGCCUUAUGCUAAUUAGAUGAAAUUGUAUUACUAUCUUCCAAAUUAGUAAACUAUAUUGUGUUUUAAAACUAAAGCUCCCUAUUAAAUAGGUGUAUUUUUUUUUUUUUGGUGUUAUCAAUGAAAUUACAUGGUAUUGUUGAGUUUUCUAUCUACUUAGUACCUUUGUACGUAAAGUAAAUUUAGCCCAUCCCAUUUUGAAAUCCUGCGUCCCUUCAUACAUUUGUGAAUACUGUGGGAUUCACCUUUUGAUAUCUCCUCAUUUGGUUACAAAUCCAAGGUCAGUGGUGGUCAUUAUCGUUGAAAUUAUAGGAGAGUUGAUGUAAACCAAGCAAUACAAUAAUACAUACAACCCAAUGUCACAGAUUAACAGGACGAAGUAAGAAACUGUUCGCUUCUUGUUUAUUAUUUGUCACAGCAAAAGGCAGCUGCGGGUUGGCACUUGGUAGCUAUAUCCAACAUCUUUAUGUCCACAUCACCAACCAAGGUGACCCAUAUUUUAUAGGCUUAUUUAUUGUAGUGACCCUUGAAACUUUGGUCAUAUCUCACUUUGAUUCUCAAAGUUAAAGUGGCUCACUUAACCUUAUUGACCGUAAUUUUGUAUUUCACUUUGCUCCCACCUUUAUCUCAUUUAAUAAUUCUGUCAGUUUGAUGAUGUGACAUAGUUAUUUUAGUCUUUUUAUCACAAGAGAUGAUGUGUCACAUAAAGGGCCCACUUUUUUUUUGUUUAAAUAAAAUAAAAUAAAAAUAAAAAUACUUGUUUAAUUAAAAAAAUAUAUAAAAAUAGAAUAAAUAAUAAAUAAAAAUCUUUCUUCUUUAUGCCUCUCCAUCUCUCUCUCUCUCUCUCCCCCCUAAAACUAACCAAGGCUUUCCAACAAUUCUCUCAAAUCAAAUCAUCCCCAAAUUCCAGCUUUCAAUCCCCACAUUCAAACCCAAAAUGCCCUCAUUCUAAACCUAAAUUGAAACAUAUUUACUCCAAAUCAAAUGGACAGACCUUAAAUCACUAGCUUUUUAAAUAAUAAUUCAAAACAAAAGAUAGAAAACCCUGUGGACUAAGCACUCCGAUGUUAUUUCGUCCAUCCACGCCCAUGACGACAACUCCGUCGUUGCCAGCGUUGAUGGGUUGGUAUAC
rnacentral:lncRNA from 1 species